rnacentral:tmRNA from 1 species
GGGGGUGAACGGUUUCGACUUUGGACGUUGAUUCAGGGGAAGCGUGCCGGUGCAGGCGAGAGACCACCGUUAAGCGUCAUCGCAAAUCAAUAUGCGCCAACUCUAAUGAGCGCGUCCAGGUCGCCAACGCUACGCGUGGCGACUUCGCUCUCGCCGCCUGAGCGAGAGUGAGGACUGUCGGCCCGGGGUCGCCUCCGACCCGGUUGCCGGCAUCAGCUAGGAGGCUUACCGCCGGUUCCGGCCACGGGGACCGGUUGGGAAACCAACAGUGGCUGGGCCCGUCACAUCGGCUUGUUCGCGUGACCGAUGGGGCCAAGUAGAGGCACAGCGAACUGCGCACGGAGAAGCCCUGGAGAGGCGCCAGAGGACCCGGGUUCGAUUCCCGGCACCUCCACCA